rnacentral:tRNA from 1 species
GGGGGCGUAGCUCAGUUGGUUAGAGCGUCUGCUUGUCACGCAGAAGGCCACCGGUUCGAGUCCGGCCGUCCCCG